UUGACUUUUACAUUGAAUCAAGUCAACCUUGACAUUCCGUCCAACAGAAGCACCCUCACUACUGUAUAUCUGUGUUCUUAGACUCGGCCAUUUCUUCGACCACCAAAUAUUAUAUUUAUUAAGAGUCCAAUGUAUAUGUUUAUGUUUCUUUUAUAUUAAGCUUGUUUUGUUUAAUUUGUCUAGUGCAUAUAUACAUGCUAUACAUGCUUUGAUUGUAUAUACAUACGGUACAUGUAUUUAUUUUAUUUAUACAGGGAGAUAUAACAGUACAAUGCCUGUAUUAAAAAAUAAAAUUUUUGAUGCUAG
rnacentral:misc_RNA from 1 species